rnacentral:misc_RNA from 1 species
GUGAAUCAUCGAAUUUUUGAACGCAAAUUGCACUCUCCGGUUUUCCGGGGAGGUAUGCCUUUUUAGGGUUCGUUUUAAUAAAUAAUCGAGUCUUCGGCUCUUUUCGCUCUUCGGAAUUGGGUCAUCGUUCACCUUUCUUUGGUAAGCGACCUAAAAUUUUUUUUACGAUUUCUACGAACGUAUCUAAAAAUUUCUUCUACGUUCACGACAUCGAAAUCAUAGGAGUGGUGACCGCCGCGUCUGG